GGUGGAGGCACUAUCCCUUGUC
rnacentral:siRNA from 1 species